UGCAGUUCAUCUCAAAUGCAUUGUAAAAACUUGCCCUGUGUGCCACUGCCUACGUCCUAUGCUUUCUAAAACUUCUGGCAAUACUGAAGAGUUCUGGAGCGGGGAAAUUUUGCUUCAUCUCAUACGAGGAGGAAAAGACGAUGCCUCAAGAAUGAAUCUUCUGUGUAUUCAUUCAGCCCAGUUCUGUGAUUUUGCUGCAACUGAGAAGUUCAAGCAUAAGAAAAAAUAGCCAGGCAUGGUGGCACAUGCCUGUAAUCCGAGCACUCCGGAGGCUGAGGCAGG